CAGCUCUCCGAGUGGUAGGGAUGAUUAUUGGGCCUAAAGCGUCCGUAGCCGGCUUAGCAAGUCUCCUGUUAAAUUCAGCGACCUAAUCGUUGAGCCGCGGGAGAUACUACUAGGCUAGGAGGCGGGAGAGGCCGACGGUAUUUCCGGGGUAGGGGUGAAAUCCUAUAAUCCCGGGCGGACCACCAGUGGCGAAGGCUGUCGGCUAGAACGCGCUCGACGGUGAGGGACGAAAGCUGGGGGAGCGAACGGGAUUAGAUACCCGGGUAGUCC
rnacentral:rRNA from 1 species